UUAAGUUCAGCGGGUAUCCCUACCUGAUCCGAGGUCAACCUAAGAAAAUAAGGGGUUGCUGGCAAGCAUCCACCGGGACUCUGUAGCGAGAAAGAUUACUACGCUUAGAGCCAGAUGCGCCGCCACUGAUUUUAAGAGCCGCGGGACCGCGAACCCCAAUACCAAGCCAGGCUUGAGUGGUCAUAAUGACGCUCGAACAG
rnacentral:misc_RNA from 1 species